rnacentral:rRNA from 1 species
AUGAACGCUGGCGGCGUGCCUAAUCCAUGCAAGUCGAGCGAACAGACGAGGAGCUUGCUCCUCUGACGUUAGCGGCGGACGGGUGAGUAACACGUGGAUAACCUACCUAUAAGACUGGGAUAACUUUGGGAAACCGGAGCUAAUACCGGAUAAUAUAUUGAACCGCAUGGUUCAAUAGUGAAAGACGGUUUUGCUGUCACUUAUAGAUGGAUCCGCGCCGCAUUAGCUAGUUGGUAAGGUAACGGCUUACCAAGGCGACGAUGCGUAGCCGACCUGAGAGGGUGAUCGGCCACACUGGAACUGAGACACGGUCCAGACUCCUACGGGAGGCAGCAGUAGGGAAUCUUCCGCAAUGGGCGAAAGCCUGACGGAGCAACGCCGCGUGAGUGAUGAAGGUCUUCGGAUCGUAAAACUCUGUUAUUAGGGAAGAACAAAUGUGUAAGUAACUAUGCACGUCUUGACGGUACCUAAUCAGAAAGCCACGGCUAACUACGUG